AAAAAAACAAACCUGCCAGACUACCGCCCAGUUGUACCUGCGCUGCACCUGCGCGCCACACCAGUAGAUGGCUUUUUCUGCAUUUUUCUGAUAUGGCACUCAGCUGCACAAAACCUGUGCAGCCCAACUAUGGCGCACCCUGACAGACUAGCGCUCAGCAGCACAAAAUCUGUGCAGCCAAGCUAUGACGCACCUUGACAGCUCUGAGCUCAGCU
rnacentral:lncRNA from 1 species